rnacentral:rRNA from 1 species
AUUGAACGCUGGCGGCAGGCUUAACACAUGCAAGUCGAGCGGAGAUGAGGUGCUUGCACCUUAUCUUAGCGGCGGACGGGUGAGUAAUGCUUAGGAAUCUGCCUAUUAGUGGGGGACAACAUUCCGAAAGGAAUGCUAAUACCGCAUACGUCCUACGAGAGAAAGCAGGGGAUCUUCGGACCUUGCGCUAAUAGAUGAGCCUAAGUCGGAUUAGCUAGUUGGUGGGGUAAAGGCCUACCAAGGCGACGAUCUGUAGCGGGUCUGAGAGGAUGAUCCGCCACACUGGGACUGAGACACGGCCCAGACUCCUACGGGAGGCAGCAGUGGGGAAUAUUGGACAAUGGGGGAAACCCUGAUCCAGCCAUGCCGCGUGUGUGAAGAAGGCCUUAUGGUUGUAAAGCACUUUAAGCGAGGAGGAGGCUACUGAGACUAAUACUCUUGGAUAGUGGACGUUACUCGCAGAAUAAGCACCGGCUAACUCUGUGCCAGCCGCCGCGGUAA